AACGAACGCUGGCGGCGUGCCUAACACAUGCAAGUCGUGCGAGAAAGUUCCUUCGGGAGCGAGUAAAGCGGCGCACGGGUGAGUAACACGUAGGUAACCUGCCCUCCAGUCUGGAACAACUAGAGGAAACUCUAGCUAAUGCCGGAUGAGACCACGAUCCCUUCGGGGGUUGCGGCCAAAGAUGGCCUCUACUUGUAAGCUAUCGCUGAGGGAUGGGCCUGCGGGCCAUUAGCUUGUUGGUGAGGUAACGGCUCACCAAGGCUGUGAUGGCUAGCUGGUCUGAGAGGAUGACCAGCCACACUGGGACUGAGACACGGCCCAGACUCCUACGGGAGGCAGCAGUGGGGAAUAUUGCGCAAUGGGCGAAAGCCUGACGCAGCGACGCCGCGUGGGUGAUGAAGGCCGUUC
rnacentral:rRNA from 1 species